GUGUUGGUAGGUCGGUCGGAUGGGGUACGUUGGGGGGUGGAGGUGUUGUCGGGAUGUAUUGGGUGUGAAUGGUGCGGAGUGGUGUAGUGAAGUCUGGUUGGAAACGUGGUGGAGGAGCGGUCAAGGGUGCGUGGAAACUGUGUAUGUUGAAGGGGCUGGAGGUCGGCGGGAGGGGUCGUGUAGCGGUGAAGUGGAUAGAGAUAAGCCGGAACCCCGAUUGCGAAGGCAGCCUGCUACGGCGUAAGUGACACUGAGGCACGAGAGCAUGGGGAGCAAACAGGAUUAGAUACCCGUGUAGUC
rnacentral:rRNA from 1 species